rnacentral:lncRNA from 1 species
GAGAGAAUAAAAAGAGUCAGACUAUAAUCGAUAUCUUUUUGUCUUUUUACCCCAUCAUUCUCAGCGUAAGUCGAUAUUUCUUUGUUCUUUUACUUCUGUCUCAAUUGCCUUAUAAUUUUAACUAUCUUUUUCAGUUGGUGCAUGAUACGUCGGUAGUUGAGAAUAGAUUCGACGGAUUGAUGAAACUCGAUCGGACAUGGAUCGAUAAGGUUGCAACUACUAAAGCUAACAAGAAAGUUGCUGACGAACUUGUCAAAGCCACAAAAGAUCGGGAGAAGAAGUGUAAGGAAGAGAUCUCCUAAUUGAAAGCCAAAUUAGUGUCAGCUCAGCAGAUCAUUGCCUCCCAUGAUAUCCGGAUUCAACAGAUGAAGCAUACAAUCAGUCGACUUCGCGAGGAGUAGGAUGACUACUUUCAUGAGUUGGAGGGUGAGUG